GACGAACGCUGGCGGCGUGCUUAACACAUGCAAGUCGAACGGAAAGGCCCUGCUUUUGUGGGGUGCUCGAGUGGCGAACGGGUGAGUAACACGCGAGUAACCUGCCCUUGACUUUGGGAUAACUUCAGGAAACUGGGGCUAAUACCGGAUAGGAGCUCCUGCUGCAUGGUGGGGGUUGGAAAGUUUCGGCGGUUGGGGAUGGACUCGCGGCUUAUCAGCUUGUUGGUGGGGUAGUGGCUUACCAAGGCUUUGACGGGUAGCCGGCCUGAGAGGGUGACCGGCCACAUGGGGACUGAGAUACGGCCCAGACGCCUACGGGAGGCAGCAGUGGGGAAUAUUGCACAAUGGGCGGAAGCCUGAUGCGGAAACGCCGCGUGCGGGAUGACGGCCUUCGGGUUAUAAACCGCUGUCGCCUGUGACGAAGCGUGAGUGACGGUAAUGGGUAAAGAAGCACCGGCUAACUACGUG
rnacentral:rRNA from 1 species